CACUGCCCAUUGCUCCUACUGAUUGAAUGAUUCGGUGAAAUAUUCAGAUCGUGGUGAUGCGGGUGGUUCACUACCCGCGACGUCGUGAGAAGUCCAUUAAACCUUAUCAUUUAGAGAAAGGAGAAGUCGUAACAAGUUUUCCAUAGGUGAACCUGCAGAAG
rnacentral:ncRNA from 1 species